CCUGCCGUAUCACCGGCAGUUUCUUACCUUGGCAUGCAUUACCGGUAACGGUUUUGUGUGAAGCCCAGGGGACAAUGGAAUCCUUGGCCGAAAGGCUUGGAGAGGAAACCGUGAGGUAGCCUCAACUCUGGUAGCAUCAAACCGGAUGGAAGC
rfam:Desulfamplus magnetovallimortis isolate PRJEB14757 genome assembly, scaffold: MTBBW1_scaffold11